rnacentral:rRNA from 1 species
UACGGAGGGGGCUAGCGUUGUUCGGAAUUACUAGGGCGUAAAGCGCACGUUAGGCGGCUUUGUAAGAUUAGAGGUGAAAGCCCAGGGCUCAACCCCGGAACUGCCUUUAAAACUGUUGGUCUGGAGGUUCGAGAGAGGUGAGUGGAAUUCCGAGUGUAGAGGUGAAAUUCGUAGAUAUUCGGAGGAACACCAGUGGCGAAGGCGGCUCACUGGCUCGAUACUGACGCUGAGGUGCGAAAGCGUGGGGAGCAAACAGG